rnacentral:rRNA from 1 species
GUGAACGCUGGCGGUAGGCCUAACACAUGCAAGUCGCACGGCAGCACAGUAAGAGCUUGCUCUUACGGGUGGCGAGUGGCGGACGGGUGAGGAAUACAUCGGAAUCUACUUUUUCGUGGGGGAUAACGUAGGGAAACUUACGCUAAUACCGCAUACGACCUACGGGUGAAAGCAGGGGAUCUUCGGACCUUGCGCGAUUGAAUGAGCCGAUGUCGGAUUAGCUAGUUGGCGGGGUAAAGGCCCACCAAGGCGACGAUCCGUAGCUGGUCUGAGAGGAUGAUCAGCCACACUGGAACUGAGACACGGUCCAGACUCCUACGGGAGGCAGCAGUGGGGAAUAUUGGAUAAUGGGCGCAAGCCUGAUCCAGCCAUACCGCGUGGGUGAAGAAGGCCUUCGGGUUGUAAAGCCCUUUUGUUGGGAAAGAAAAGCAGCAGGUUAAUACCCCGCUGUUCUGACGGUACCCAAAGAAUAAGCACCGGCUAACUUCGU